rnacentral:rRNA from 1 species
GAUGAACGCUGGCGGCGUGCCUAAUACAUGCAAGUCGAGCGAACAGAUAAGGAGCUUGCUCCUUUGACGUUAGCGGCGGACGGGUGAGUAACACGUGGGUAACCUACCUAUAAGACUGGAAUAACUCCGGGAAACCGGGGCUAAUGCCGGAUAACAUUUAGAACCGCAUGGUUCUAAAGUGAAAGAUGGUUUUGCUAUCACUUAUAGAUGGACCCGCGCCGUAUUAGCUAGUUGGUAAGGUAACGGCUUACCAAGGCAACGAUACGUAGCCGACCUGAGAGGGUGAUCGGCUACACUGGAACUGAGACACGGUCCAGACUCCUACGGGAGGCAGCAGUAGGGAAUCUUCCGCAAUGGGCGAAAGCCUGACGGAGCAACGCCGCGUGAGUGAUGAAGGUCUUCGGAUCGUAAAACUCUGUUAUUAGGGAAGAACAAAUGUGUAAGUAACUGUGCACGUCUUGACGGUACCUAAUCAGAAAGCCACGGCUAACUACGUG